UAACUCCGUGCCAGCACCCGCGGUAAUACGGAGGAUCCAAGCGUUAUCCGGAAUCAUUGGGUUUAAAGGGUCCGCAGGCGGUCUUUUAAGUCAAAGGUGAAAUCCUACCCCUCAACUGUAGAACGGCCUUUGAUACUGAAAGACUUGACUUAUUGUGAAGUGAUUAAAAUGUGUGGUGUAGCGGUGAAAUGCAUAGAUAUCACACAGAAUACCGAUUGCGAAGGCAGAUCACUGAUCAUAUACUGACGCUCAUGGACGAAAGCGUGGGGAGCGAACAGGAUUAGAUACCCUGGUAGUCCACGCCGUAAACGAUGGAUACUAACUGUUCGGCUAACAUUGAUUUACAGAGGCUAAACGAAAAUGAUAACUAUCCCCCCUGGGGAGUACAGUCGCCAGACUGAAACUCUCAUGAGUUGACGG
rnacentral:rRNA from 1 species